rnacentral:lncRNA from 1 species
CGCUAUACAGCGCCUCAAAGCUUCAAACGUUCCUUUGUCUGAGCUCACAUUUCUCAUAGAUGGAAAAUUUCUUGGAAGUUAGCAAAGAUACAGCAAGCAUACCAAGACGAGAUCUAUGGUAAGAUUUUCUUCAUCAAUUUUAUAAACUGCAACUCCAAAUUUCUGUUUUAUCGGAUGAAAUUCACGAAUAUUGCUUUGAUUCUAGUUAAUACUCUCUCUCUCCCUCUCUCAGCCAUACACCCUCCAAUGUUUCCUACAGAUAAAAUCUGAUAGUGUCUCUAGGGAUGUCAAUCGGGCCAGUCCAUCAGGUUUUCGGGCUAGUCCUAUCGGGUUCCGGGUUAGUCGGGUGCGGGCUAAUCGGGUUGGAGAUUUUUUCGAUUGUAAAUCUUCAACCCUAACUCUAAACUUUCGGGUUUCGGGCUAGCCCAUCGGGCUAAUCAGGUUAAAGGCGUAAAAAUAAAAUUAUAAUUUGUAUUUUAUUAUUCCUAAUGAUCUAAUGUAUAAUGUAUAAAAUAUACAUAGAUAUUAAAUAUAUAAAUUAUAUAGCAAAGCAUGAAAUGCAAAAAUAUAAGAUAUUCAAGAUUACAUAAACAAAAUUAUAUUAAAAUGAGAUAGUAAAAUUUAACAUGUAUCAAUGCAUUAGAAUCAAUAUGGAUUAUUACUGAAUAAUUAGUGGAUUUGCCAUGCACGUCUCAUUGACAAGAAAAAAAAAUGGUAUCACUUUAAAAUGAGAUACUAAUAAUUAAUUUCUAACUAAUGAGAUACUAAUAAUCAAUUUCUACAAAAAAUCCGUAAUUAAUUUCACUUUUUUUAAUGAGAUUGCACACACACACACACACACACACACACACACACACACAUAUACUAACUAAUUAAUUACUUACUUUUAGUAGUAGACUAAUAUAUAUAGUUAAGCAAAUACCAUAGAUCUAAACAUAGCAGAAGUUGUAACUGGAUGCAUUAGUCACAAUUCCGUCACGCCCACCGGGCCAGCCCAUCGGGUUUUCGGGCUAGCCCUAGUCCGGGUUCGGGUUAGUCGGGUGCGGGCUAAUCGGGCUGGGUAGGUUUUUUCGGGUUGCGUAUUUUUCAACCCUAACCCUGUAAUUUUGUCGGGUUAUUCGGAUCGGCCCACGGGUUUCGGGCUGCAUUGACAUCCCUACGCGUGAGUAAAAAAAAUGAGUUUUUUCCUCUCUUUUCUCUCUCUCUUCUCCCGCCAAUUUUUCUCUUUCUUCUAUUUUUAUUUUAUUUUAAUUUUUUUUCUAAAUAUCAACAGAUUUGAUUUGUGAAAAAAUAUUCAAUAUUGAUCUUAAAUUUAAGUUCGUGACAAGAUUUUUAAUAUAGUAUAAAAAUUAUUCAAAAAGAUUCAAAACAAAAAAGUUAUCAAAAAACUAAAAUAUAAAAAUUCUAGAAUCUUGCUCCAGGAAUUGGUUAGGAGUUAAAAAGAGAAUCACCUGCUUUACCACUAUGUCUCCUGCUCCAACCUCAAUUCUUUGCAUGCNUUCAUUAUCGAAUAAUUUUUAAAUUUAUUUAAUAACUAUAAUUAUCAAUAUAUUUUGUAUUAGUUGAAAAUUUAUAUUUUUAAAUUCAAAAUUUUAUUGAGUAACUUAUGUGAAUUACUAUUAUAUUUUAUUUAUAAAACAUAUUUUGUAUUUAUUUAUAUUUUGAUUUUUUAUUUAUUUAAAUUUUCAUUUAAUUUCGAUAUCCAUCGUCGAUCAUACGUAUGGGCGUAUACUAGUUAUUAUUAAAUGAGAGGAUAUAGUGAAAAUUUUGGAAGCCAUGUUUAAAAUCACCCACCAAAAUAAUCGGCAACUCUUUUGUUUUCUUUUUGGGCUAUUUCCUUCUUCGUCUUUUGUUAUUUACAAUUAGCUUGGCUCAAACUAAUGAGUCCAAGUUCAAGCCCAACAUUCUUCUUUUGCUUGUGUUUUUAAUUAGUUGGGCUCAAACUAAUGAGGGCCCACAAACAGUAGACAUAUUAGCCCAAUUUAUAACCGGAACUCAUGCUGGCUGUGGGGGUUGUAAUCAACUCGAGCUAGCAAACUUAGGGCUGUUAAAUGGGCCGGAUCAGGUCAGCCUGGCCCAGACUCACUGAGCUAUCAACUUGUACCGGAUCAGCUUGACCCGGCCCGAAAUAUGAUUGGGUUGUAAAUCAUAACUAAAUUGGCCUAAUAUUUUUUUUUAUAUGAAAUGUUAAGACUUAUAAAUCUAUGGCUUAUAAAUAAAUAUAUCCAUCAAAUAAAUUAUCUAAUAAAAGUAAUGAAUAGAUAGAUUUUCUAAAAUAAUAGAUUAUCAAAUAAAAUAACAUUAAUUACAUGUAUAAAUAAAUAUAUUCAUUCAAUAAAAAUAAUUAAUCAAUAGAUUUUUUAAAAUAAUAGAUUAUCAAAUAAAAAAAUAUUUACAAUUAAAAAAAAAAAGGAAAAACACCUAAUUCACGAACAGUAUCCAUUCACUUAGCUCAUCUUCCAAUUCUCUCAAAGUAGGCCUUUCCUCCACUGCUCCGCCACUCUCCUCAUCAUCAACAGCUCCAGACACCGAAUCUCCCCCAUUUUCCGACGCCCUCCGCCACGGAAGAAGUUGGAGCAGGCGGGGAAGAACGCCUGCGCGGCCGCCGCGCAUGCAGCCGGGAAGCGCGUGGGUCCCAUCUACGUGGAGCUCGUAAACUAGCAACGGAAAACUCGUCUCCAAACAGCACCCCGAAAUCCUAGUUUCGUUUCCGCGGCGUAGAGAGCGACGGAUCACCUCGCCGAUGAACUGCUUGAUUUUCGAUUCCGGCACCAGCGUCGGAAUCUUCAUCACGACGGCCUCUCGAUUAUUCUCGAAGGUUCCGCGGCAGAAUUUCCCGUCCGUCUCACUGUAAUUGUUGGUGGCGAUCUCCAUUUCCUGAGCUGUGUAUAUUUUGAGUUGCGCAGAUCUCGAUCUCUUGCGAUUGGAUAGCUUCUUCUUCAGUAUGUUUCCGCCAUUCCUGUCGAACAAGCUCAUUCUGUUGUGCUCGAGCUUCCGUCUCCGAUGCGUCCAAACGAUCCAAGUGCUCGCGAAGAGGGGCGCUAGCACGAACACCCCCAAUAAGUAGGGGAUUUUGGAGUCGAUGAUGCAGAUUCCAUGGCAGCUCCGCAAGGCGACCGAGGUUGUUUUGGUGACGGAGGAAGAGAGGGUGAGAGAGAAAAACAUCAACUUGAAAGGAACGGAAUUGUGGAGACAGAUUUUCAGAAGAAUCUUCAAAGGGGUGGUGGUUGGACAAGAUAGGAGACAAGAGUUUAAAAGUGCAAACAUAGUAUAUGAAAAAAAAAGAGGGUUAAUAUGUAAAAACAUAUAUAUACAAAAAAAAGGGGGUUAAUAUGCAAAAACAUCCUAACGUUAUAUAUCACUCUAACUAUACUUAAGUCCCUAAUCUAACGUUGAUAGCAACUAACACCCCAAAGUUCAUUAAGUACUACAAUUAAACCCAUAACAAAAUUUCUUGUUAUUUGAUACUAGUAUCUGACCAUAAUCUAGUCAAAUAUAAAAGAAAAUAAAAUUAAAUAAGUUGGCGAAUACUUAGUAAUUAAGGAAAAAGAAAAAAAUGGUGUAGGCACUCUUUUGGAAAUUGGAAUUGGAACCAGCAAUUUUGCUAUCUUUCUUUUUUCUUUGUUUUCGUCUGAUGUUCUUCUUCUUCUUCUUCUUCUUCUUCUUCUUCUUCUUCUCUUUUUUAUUUGUUUUUUUAUUUGUUUUUUUUAAUACUGUUUUUUCUUAUCUUUCUUUAUAUACUAGUGUGUAACUCGUCGAAAUUCGACGAGAAACCAUUGCACAUCAUAAUUAUUAUUGUAUAUUAUUUAUAGUUAUUGUAUAUGAAAUGAUCUUUAUAUAUAUAAAUUAUUUUUUAAUUAAUUUUGUUUCAUCAAAAUAAAUUGUGUAGAUUGCCUUUACAUGUAAGUUUUUAUUUGAUAAAAUUUCACAAAAAAUUGAUGUGAUGUUGAAGAUUUUAGAAAAAAAAGAUUUAGGUAUAUUUGAAAUAGGAUAUAAUGAAGAAUUGAUAGAUUGUACUUUUUGUUAAUAGUAUGUAGAAAAGAUUUACCUUCAACCAAUCUCACUCGAUAAUCUUUAGGUUUUCUCCCAACAAAAAAAAAAAAAGAAAGACAUGCAAAUUAAACCUAACAAAAUAUUACUACUUCCAUUUUCCCAUAUUUGGCCUAUAUUUUUAAGGUCAAUGAAAGUGGGCUAUAAUUUGUCUCCAAACAGCAGCCCGCAAUCCUAAUUACAUUUCCGCCGCGUAGAGUGCGACGGAUCACCUCGUCGAUGAACUGCUUGAUUUUCAAUUCCGGCACCAGUGACGUACGGAAUCUUCAUCACGACGGCCUCUCGAUUAUUCUCGAAGGUUCCGCUGUAGAAUUUCCCCGGCUCUCUGUAAUUGUUAGUGGCGAUCUUCAUUUAGGAGAGAUGCGGCCGGCUGUUUAGGUUUUAAAUUAUACUACUAGAAUCCAAUUUUUUACUUUUUAUUCAUAUUCAUUUUAUUUCCUUCUUAUCUUUUUUUUAUAUUUUUUUAUUUUUAUGUCCAAAUCAAAAGUUGCCUCCAAGAUGAUGAAUUUUUUGAUAAUUAACCAUUUUUUAUACUACUAUUUUAUUGCAAUUUUUGCUGGAUGAGUUUGUUGAUCAGAUGUUGCUGGCUUUCUCAUUGAUCUUGUUAUUGUUAUAUAGUAAUGCUCUAAGCGUGUAAUUAAAUAACCAAUAAUUGCACCUAAUCUUUUCUUAUAGCUACGUGGAUUCAGCAUCAUAUGUUUCUGAUUUCUUUGCUUCAAUUCUAGAUUUUAAUAUAUUUGUGAUAUUUUUUUUUUGGUAAUUGAUGUAUAAAUACAUAAAUUUUAGUCAUUUUUUGGUAUUUAACAUGAAUUUUAAAAUCUAGUUAUAAAUGCAUGAAAUUUAAAUUUAUUUAAUUUUUGACCCAUUUUUUAUAUCUGAUAAAAUUAAUGCUGAUAUGUCAAAAUUAGAACUUAGUUAGCAAAUUAAUUCUCUAGCUAGCAUCUGACUAAGAAAUUUCUUCUCCUCCAUUCAAUUUAUACAAAAAAAACCCUUUCACUUUUACAAAAUAUAAUAUAAAGAGUAAUUUUUUAUUUGUGUGGACUGAGGUGUUGUCCUCGUCGGUUUUUGANAAUUCUCUAGCUAGCAUCUGACUAAGAAAUUUCUUCUCCUCCAUUCAAUUUAUACAAAAAAAACCCUUUCACUUUUACAAAAUAUAAUAUAAAGAGUAAUUUUUUAUUUGUGUGGACUGAGGUGUUGUCCUCGUCGGUUUUUGAAAGCAAGGGCGGUGGCGAACCACCAUUCGAGGCCCCUGGAUCUGAUGUUUUUUUUGUAAAGGGGUUUUUUUUGCAUAAAUUGAAUGGAGAAGAGGAAAUUUAUUAGUCAGAUGCCAGCUAGAGAAUUAAUUUUGCCAACUAAAUUCUAAUUUUGACAUGUCAAUAUUAAUUUCAUCAGAUAUAAAUAUCGGGUCAAAAAUUAAAUAAGUUUAAAAUUCAUGUAUCUAUAACCAGAUUUUAAAGUUUAUGUUAUAUACCAAAAAGUGAGUAAAAUUUAUGUAUUUAUACGCUAAAUACUUUUUUUUUUCAAGAAAGAAAGAUAAUUAGCUAUUCAACGCCGGAGGAAAACAUGUAAUUUGGUGUUGCAUUCACACAAAGUAAAUUUCCAAGAACUUUCCUACCAGAGAACUCAAAUAUUUCAAGAAGGGCUCCUCUAAACUGUCACCCAAAAUUUAUUCCCACAUUAGUAGAGGAGGGAAUUGGAAAAUACGCAAUUCAUAGAAACUAAAUUGCAUGGAGGAUUAGGCCAUAUAUAUAUGCACUUGCAGGAAAACAACAUGAAAUUUCCAUUUCUUUUCAACUGGUAGAAAACCACCAUGAAAUUUUCAUCUCAACGGACAACGCGUAUUCAAUUUUACAUUUUUUUUUCUUUUCCUCUAAUAAAAAGAAAUUAAAAUAGGAUGAAAUAUAACUAUAAAUAUACAAUCGAAGAAAUUAAUCAAAACAAUGAUAUGGCUACGUUGUGAUCAAUUUAUUUUCAGUUGGAUUCUUGCUCCCAAAUUUGGAGCACCUUUGAAACUCUGUUUCAUUCUCAAUUGAAAGCUUCGAUCUUUGCAUCUUGUAAUGGGACGGAAGGAGUAACAAUUUAUUUUAAAAUAAAUAUUAAUUCAAUUAAGAAAUUAAGAAUCGUAGGAGAGAAAUGAUGGGACAAAGAGUUGGGACAUCUGAUUCUAAUUAGUUUCCUGAUGGCUAGGUUUAAUUAUUACUAUUAUUUUAUCAAAUUUUAAAAUAUGAAUUUUUAUAUAAAAGUAUAAUAGUACAUCUAUUAUUAUUUUUAAAUGAAAGGCUAAGUAAAAGAAUUACUAGUAACUAUGUUCAAAAUCACCCCACCGGAAACAAUUAGCAACCCUUUUGAUAUAUUCUUUUCUUUCUGGGCUAUUUCCCACUUCUUCUUUUUUUUUUUGUUAAUAAUUAGAUGGGCUCAAAAUAAUGAGGGCCGAACCUCAAGCCCAACAAUCUUAGACUUCCCAAAAAAACUUAGGUAUUAAAUUGAGCUUGAAUUUUUUAUUUAUUGAAUUUUCAAAGCUCACGAAUUUAUUUGAAACUUACUUUAGACUAAGAGAACUUUUUAGAUUUAAAUAUUAAUUACUUUUUAAAAUAAUAUUUUAGAAAAGCAUACUCGCUUCUCACAAAAACAUGAACAUUUCAAUUUUUGUACAUUACCUCAUUAUCUUUUAUCCCUCAUUUUCACAAAAAAUCAUCAUGACUAUUGGCUCACCACUACUUUUCCUCACUUAAGAGCACCCACAAUGGAUGACUCGAUCGUCGCCACUCGAAUCACCCAUAGAUCAGGUCUCCCACUGCAGCGGUCAUGGACUCGAGACUGACCUGAUUUAUCGGGUGAGGCCAGGGAAAAAAAAAAUCUCAAAAAACAUACCUGAACUCGGCGAGAAGUGAAGAUGAAGAAGAUGAAGUGCAAAACAUGAUCACGGCUUUUAUUUAGAUUUAAUUUUAGGGCUUUUAUUUAGCUGACUUUGGCCUUUUAAUUUUAGGUCUUUAAAUUUUUUUCAAUUUUAAAUCUAUAUUUAAAUUUUAGUAAUUAGUAUUAAUGUAAUUUUCAUUUGAAGUAAAUUGUGUUAUUUAAAUUUAAAUGAAAAAUACAAAAAUUAAAACUAAAAAAAUCAAGUCAG